rnacentral:rRNA from 1 species
GCUUGUCUCAAAGAUUAAGCCAUGCAUGUCUAAGUAUAAGCAAUUAUACCGUGAAACUGCGAAUGGCUCAUUAAAUCAGUUAUCGUUUAUUUGAUAGUACCUUACUACAUGGAUAACCGUGGUAAUUCUAGAGCUAAUACAUGCUAAAAACCCCGACUUCGGAAGGGGUGUAUUUAUUAGAUAAAAAACCAAUGCCCUUCGGGGCUCUUUGGUGAAUCAUAAUAACUUAACGGAUCGCAUGGCCUUGCGCCGGCGACGGUUCAUUCAAAUUUCUGCCCUAUCAACUUUCGAUGGUAAGGUAUUGGCUUACCAUGGUUUCAACGGGUAACGGGGAAUUAGGGUUCGAUUCCGGAGAGGGAGCCUGAGAAACGGCUACCACAUCCAAGGAA